AUUGAACGCUGGCGGCAGGCUUAACACAUGCAAGUCGAGCGGGGUGAUGGUGCUUGCACUAUCACUUAGCGGCGGACGGGUGAGUAAUGCUUAGGAAUCUGCCUAUUAGUGGGGGACAACAUCUCGAAAGGGAUGCUAAUACCGCAUACGUCCUACGGGAGAAAGCAGGGGAUCACUUGUGACCUUGCGCUAAUAGAUGAGCCUAAGUCGGAUUAGCUAGUUGGUGGGGUAAAGGCCUACCAAGGCGACGAUCUGUAGCGGGUCUGAGAGGAUGAUCCGCCACACUGGGACUGAGACACGGCCCAGACUCCAACGGGAGGCAGCAGUGGGGAAUAUUGGACAAUGGGGGGAAGCAUAAUCCAGCCAUGCCGCGUGUGUGAAGAGGGCCUUAUGGUUGUAAAGCACUUUAAGCGAGGAGGAGGCUCUUUUGGUUAAUACCCAAGAUGAGUGGACGUUACUCGCAGAAUAAGCACCGGCUAACUCUGUGCCAGCAGCCGCAGUAA
rnacentral:rRNA from 1 species